rnacentral:lncRNA from 1 species
CUCCUGCUCUGUGUUUUAUUCCAGGUCCUUUCUCCUGCUCUGUGUUUUAUUCCAGGUCCUUUCUCCUGCUCUGUGUUUUAUUCCAGGUCGUUUUCUCCCCCUCCUCCUUUCUCCUGCUCUGUGUUUUAUUCCAGGUCCUUUCUCCUGCUCUGUGUUUUAUUCCAGGUCGUUUUCUUCCCCUCCUCCGUUCUCCUGCUCUGUGUUUUAUUCCAGGUCCUUUCUCCUGCUCUGUGUUUUAUUCCAGGUCCUUUCUCCUGCUCUGUGUUUUAUUCCAGGUCCUUUCUCCUGCUCUGUGUUUUAUUCCAGGUCCUUUCUCCUGCUCUGUGUUUUAUUCCAGGUCCUUUUCUCCCCCUCCUCCUUUCUCCUGCUCUGUGUUUUAUUCCAGGUCCUUUCUCCUGCUCUGUGUUUUAUUCCAGGUCCUUUUCUC